GAACUAUAAAAGUGCACUCUUCUAUGCCAAAAAAUCAUCGUGUGAUACAUUAAGGACGAACAAUAAAAUUAGUAGUUGCAAUCAUGGAAAGAAAAUUCUUAGUCCUUAUGUUGCUCGUUGUCCUUCUAUUGGCUUCAGAGAAUAAUGUGGCACGCACUGAUGCAACUGAAGAGUGUCAUGCAAAGAGCAAAAGGUUCAAGGGUUUAUGUCUGGUUGAUAGAAAUUGUGCCGCAGUUUGCGAAUCUGAAGGUUUCAAAAGCGGCGAUUGUCAAGGGAUUCGACAUCGAUGCGUGUGUUUUAAACCUUGUUGAAAAAUGAACUAAAAAGCACUAAUAAGGCAUCAAGAGCACACAAUUGCCACCAAUAAAGAAUUAAUACUAUAUUUCUCCGUA